AUUGAACGCUGGCGGCAGGCCUAACACAUGCAAGUCGAACGAGUGGCGGACGGGUGAGUAAUGUCUGGGAAACUGCCUGAUGGAGGGGGAUAACUAAUGGAAACGGUAGCUAAUACCGCAUACCAUCAUCUGUGCCCUGAUGGGAUUAGCUAGUUGGUGGGGUAACGGCUAACAAAGGCGAGGAUCCCUAGCUGGUCUGAGAGGAUGACCAGCCACACGUGAACUAAGACAGGGUCCAGACUCCUACGGGAGGCAGCAGUGGGGAAUAUUGCACAAUGGUCGCAAGCCUGAUGCAGCCAUGCCGCGUGUAUGAAGAAGGCCUUCGGGUUGUAAAGUACUUUCAGCGGGGAGGCGUUACCCGCAGAAGAAGCACCGGCUAACUCCGUGCCAGCCGCCGCGGUAAUAC
rnacentral:rRNA from 1 species